UUAUAAGUGUUUUAUGGCACUUUUUAAAUCCAUAUCCACCUCGUGUGCAAUGUCAGUCGAUCUUCUUCAUGGAGAUCGACCAAACAUCAACCUUUAUCUUUUAACUCUUUGUCUUAAAAAUAUUAUGAAUAAACAAUUCAAAAUA
rnacentral:misc_RNA from 1 species